AAUAUUGCACAAUGGAGGAAACCCUGAUGCAGCGUCGCCGCUUAAACGAUGUAUGCCUUAGGGUCGUAAAGUUCUGUCCUUGCGGACGGUAAUGACGGUACCCAAGCAGGAUGCCCCGCCGCAAUACGUGUCCGCAGCCGCAGUAAUACGUAGGGGGCGAGCAUUGUCCGGAAUUAUUGGGCGUAAAUGGGUCUUAGGCGGUCUUUUAAGGCUGAUGUGAAAGGUCACGGCUCAUCAGUGGUAAUCAUUUGAAACUAAAAGACGUGAGUUAAGGAGAGGAAAGUGGAAUUCCUAGUGUAGCGGUGAAAUGCGUAGAUAUUAGGAGGAAUACCAGUGGCGAAAGCGACUUUCCGGACUUAUUCUGACGCUGAGGAACGAAAGCGUGGGGAUCAAACAGG
rnacentral:rRNA from 1 species